rnacentral:rRNA from 1 species
UACGGAGGAUCCAAGCGUUAUCCGGAAUUACUGGGCGUAAAGAGUUGCGUAGGUGGCAUAGUAAGCGAAUAGUGAAAUCGUACGGCUCAACCGUAUAUCCAUUAUUUGAACUGCUAAGCUAGAGUAUGAGAGAGGCAGGUGGAAUUCCGGGUGUAGCGGUGGAAUGCGUAGAGAUCCGGAAGAACACCGGUGGCGAAGGCGGCCUGCUGGGCAGUUGCUGACACUGAGGCGCGACAGCGUGGGGAGCAAACAGG